AUUGAACGCUGGCGGCAGGCCUAACACAUGCAAGUCGAGCGAGUGGCGGACGGGUGAGUAAUGUCUGGGAAACUGCCCGAUGGAGGGGGAUAACUACUGGAAACGGUAGCUAAUACCGCAUACUAUCGGAUGUGCCCAGAUGGGAUUAGCUUGUAGGUGAGGUAACGGCUCACCUAGGCGACGAUCCCUAGCUGGUCUGAGAGGAUGACCAGCCAAACUGGGACUGAGACACGGUCCAGACUCCUACGGGAGGCAGCAGUGGGGAAUAGUGCACAAUGGGCGCAAGCCUGAUGCAGCCAUGCCGCGUGUAUGAAGAAGGCCCUCGGGUGGUAAAGUACUUUCAGUCGGGAGGCGUUACCGACAGAAGAAGCACCGGCUAACUCCGUGCCAGCAGCCGCGGUAAUUC
rnacentral:rRNA from 1 species